rnacentral:rRNA from 1 species
UGAGUACAAUUUAAACCUCUUUAACGAGUAACAAUUGGAAGACGUCUGGUGCGAGCAGCCGCGGUAAUUCCAGCUCCAAUAGCGUAUACUGUAUUAAAGUUGUUACAGUUAAAAGCUCGUAGUUGAAUUUCGGAAUCUGUCCGUUGAAAGCAUUUGCCAAGGAUGUUUUCGUUAAACAGGAACGAAAGUUAGAGGAUCAAAGACGAUCAGAUACUAUCGUAGUCUUAACCAUAAACUAUACCGAUUAAGGAUCGGAUGAUGUUGAUUUUUUAAUAGCUUGUUCGGCGCCUUACG